rnacentral:rRNA from 1 species
GGGGAAUUUUGGACAAUGGGGGCAACCCUGAUCCAGCAAUGCCGCGUGUGUGAAAAAGGCCUGAGGGUUGUAAAGCACUUUAGGUGGGGAGGAAGGCUUAUUAGUUAAUAGCUAAUAGGAUUGACGUUACCCACAGAAUAAGCACCGGCUAACUCUGUGCCAGCAGCCGCGGUAAUACAGAGGGUGCGAGCGUUAAUCGGAAUUAUUGGGCGUAAAGGGCAUGUAGGUGGUUUUAAAAGUGUGAUGUGAAAGCCCCGGGCUUAACCUGGGAAUGGCGUUGAAUACUAUAAGACUAGAGUCGGACAGAGGGUAGUGGAAUUUCCGGUGUAGCGGUGAAAUGCGUAGAGAUCGGAAAGAACACCAGUGGCGAAGGCGGCUACCUGGGACCAGACUGACACUGAGGUGCGAAAGCGUGGGGAGCAAA